GACGAACGCUGGCGGCGUGCCUAAUACAUGCAAGUUGAGCGCUGAAGGUUGGUCCUUGUACCAACUGGAUGAGCAGCGAACGGGUGAGUAACGCGUGGGGAAUCUGCCUUUGAGCGGGGGACAACAUUUGGAAACGAAUGCUAAUACCGCAUAAAAACUUUAAACACAAGUUUUAAGUUUGAAAGAUGCAAUUGCAUCACUCAAAGAUGAUCCCGCGUUGUAUUAGCUAGUUGGUGAGGUAAAGGCUCACCAAGGCGAUGAUACAUAGCCGACCUGAGAGGGUGAUCGGCCACAUUGGGACUGAGACACGGCCCGAACUCCUACGGGAGGCAGCAGUAGGGAAUCUUCGGCAAUGGACGAAAGUCUGACCGAGCAACGCCGCGUGAGUGAAGAAGGUUUUCGGAUCGUAAAACUCUGUUGGUAGAGAAGAACGUUGGUGAGAGUGGAAAGCUCAUCAAGUGACGGUAACUACCCAGAAAGGGACGGCUAACUACGUG
rnacentral:rRNA from 1 species